AGAUAGUAGAAGCCCCGCAACAAGUAGGUAGACUUCUGCAAGAGGAACAGGAUGUGUCAGAAAAGCGGGCUGAGCAGGCAGCUCUGCACAGAGAACAAAGGAGUGUUUUGGAGGAGCGGAGAACGGCUGCGUCACAAAGGCUCCAAAGUCUUGUUGCUCAAAUCCAGGAGGCCAAGGAGCUGAAGUCUGCUGAGGGUGGAGCACAACCUUCAAAGCGUGCCCCUAAAAGAAGACCAAGGAAAAAAGAACUUCAUGUUUCCAGGGUGCCUUAUUUUAACUAUUGUCAUUUAUUUUCUACAUAAAAAUCUUUUGUCAAACCAAUAAAAUCUAUUUUAAAGCUACUUGGCCCAGAUUCCACCUUUCCUCUCAUUACAGAAAAAUGUUUGCAUUUUGCUUUUCAUGGACCACCAGUUAAUAAAUAGAUUUAAGUUGUGUGUGGAUUAAUUUUCUGCAUAAAGAGCAGCAGCAGAGAAAAUAUAGACAACCCUUUCCAUUUUCCACAUUUUGGUGCUAACAGGUUUAUUCUAAAACUGACUGGAUUAUAAUUUUCCCUACACAAAAAGCACACAAAAAUAAAGGAAAAUGAGCUUUAACUGUUUUGUGACUGAAAUGAAAACAUAAUGGCUGAAUAUUCACUCCCACAUCUUUGACACUGAAUUAAAUGUGAGUUAAUCUGAUUCCCACUAAUUAUUCAUAUGUUUCAGCAACUUGAUUAGUGGAUUAAACCUAAUUUAGGACCAAAUAAAGUUCUGGAAGACGUCACGGUUGACGGAGCAUAUCACAUCAGAAACAAAAGUCAAAGCAGUUGUUUGCUGACCAAAAGUGACUAAUUUUGUGUAUGGCAACAAUAUGAGAAAGACUAAAAUAAAUGUAACUGAUGAUACUGCAGCAAUCAGGACACCUCACCAACCUGUGGAGAAAGAGCCGGACAAACAACGUCUGACACAAAACAA